UACGUAGGGUGCGAGCGUUAAUCGGAAUUACUGGGCGUAAAGUGUGCGCAGGCGGCCGAGCAAGUCGAGUGUGAAAGCCCCGAGCUUAACUUGGGAACUGCGCUCGAAACUACUUGGCUAGAGUGUGGCAGAGGGAGGUGGAAUUCCACGUGUAGCGGUGAAAUGCGCAGAGUAUCAAGGAGGAACACCGGUGGCGAAGGCGGGUCUCUGGGCCGAUACUGACGCUGAGGAGCGAAAGCGUGGGGAGCGAACAGG
rnacentral:rRNA from 1 species